rnacentral:rRNA from 1 species
AUUGAACGCUGGCGGCAUGCCUUACACAUGCAAGUCGAACGGUAACGCGGGGCAACCUGGCGACGAGUGGCGAACGGGUGAGUAACGCAUCGGAACGUGCCCAGUCGUGGGGGAUAGCCCGGCGAAAGCCGGAUUAAUACAGCAUACGACCCACGGGUGAAAGCCGGGGAUGGGAAGACCGCGCGGCAUUGGAGCGGCGGAUGUCAGAUUAGGUAGUUGGUGGGGUAAAGGCCUACCAAGCCUACGAUCUGUAGCUGGUCUGAGAGGACGACCAGCCACACUGGGACUGAGACACGGCCCAGACUCCUACGGGAGGCAGCAGUGGGGAAUUUUGGACAAUGGGCGCAAGCCUGAUCCAGCCAUGCCGCGUGCGGGAAGAAGGCCUUCGGGUUGUAAACCGCUUUUGUCAGGGAAGAAAUCUUCUGGGCUAAUACCUCGGGAGGAUGACGGUACCUGAAGAAUAAGCACCGGCUAACUACGUGCCAGCCGCCGCAGUAAUAC